AGGAGCCGGAGAGUUUUGAGCCUCUAAGUGUGUGGGCCAGAGGGGGGUAUCAUUAGUGUCGCGCAGGGCCGUCGAACACGCCCGCACACACACGUUGAGGGCCUUUGCUCGAGGUAAAUGUCACAGAGGGGGCUCCCGCGGUGCCAGGAAAUCGUUUCCUCUCUCAUUUUGUCUCCUCUUCUACAUUAUUGAAAAGGCCACGCAGCAAGGCACUCUGGGAGGUUGCCCGUCGUCCAUCGGGGGGAGGAUACAGAGGGUUGAUGAGGUGAGAAUUUCCAGCAGAGUGCCGGCGUCGACAGAUUUUGAUUAAAACUCGUGUGUUUCAUCAUUCGUUUCAUCAUCCUUGUUCUUAGCUUCAGAGAUCUUUCACUUAUUUAUUUCUUUUUCCGUCUCGAUCAGUCACUACUCGCUGUCAAGAUGAGAUGCGCUGGCGUGAUUGAGAUUGAGCGAAAAAAGUCACGUAUGAACACACGCGCUGACACCGGAGAAGUUACAAGACUGUUCUGUUCACAUCUGGAGGGGAUGAAAACCUGUGUUCUCGGUGUCAUAGGCUGUUUUAGUCAUUAGUCAUGUCAGUCAAUCUACACUGCAAGCGAACAUACCAGCUACGCUUGUGUAAAGACAGUUUAAUUGCUUUCUAAUUUAAGCAGUAGAAGUUUUGAGGCAUUAAGGCUCAUUUAUGCUCGGCGUACGUAUGAAAAUGUACGCAUCUGUUUCAAACGACGGUUCCGUCACCACCCGCAUACUUUCAUACGUCCUUUCCGUUGGCAUGGAUGUUAACAAUUACAUCCAACAGGGGGCAGGCUGGAGUCAAAGGUUUCUGACUAAAUGCCUCACGGUUGGAGAACGGAGAAUUCUUUUCCCUAGUAAGACCGAUGAGAGAUAUUGAAGAAGAUCCUAAAAAAGCCCCACCUUUGUCUUAUUCGUUUGUCUCUAGAGAUGCGUUCGGAAAGAGACAGCAGCAACACUGCCCCCACGGUUCACUGUGGUACUGCUCUGUCUGGACCGUAUUCAUAAACUUAUAGGAUACGUGUAGAAAUACGUAUGUAUCUGGAUCGGUAUGUAACAUUGAGCAUAAAUAAGCCUUAAAAAGGACUUCAUGUCAACAACGACUCUAGAUUUAACAUUUCAGAGUUACUGAAGAAAAACCCUUCAACCCCUUAAACCCUCAACUCCCCCUCCAACUCAAAAAUGUGACUAAGUGCCACCUAAAAAUGUCAUUUUCUUUUACAGUAAGUUACUGUCAUUUUACUGCUGUGACAUUUCGACGAAUGGAUGGAACAAGAAGAAAAGUCGAAUGGCUGUUGGUACAAAAGAUCUUCUGAAGAGAGAGGAGCCGUCCACCACCAUUGGCCCUUUGGUCCAUCAAGGUGUUGUGAAGUGGGUGAUCCAUGUUCUUCUGAAUAGUCUCCACCUUCCUCAGUGUAGAUCUCUCCACCACAUCCUCCACUGAGUCCAGCUUGAGUCCAACCACAGAGUCAGCCUUUUUCACCAGUUUGUUCAGACGUCUUGCAUCUUUGUGUUUGACGCUUCCUCCCCAGCAGACUGCAGCGUAGAACAGAACACUGUAGACACUACAGACUGAUAAAACAUCUACAGAUGUCUAUUGAAGUCUAUAUUCUUAGACCAGUCCAACUUAUUAUCCAGAUGUACACCAAGAUAUUUUUAUGAUUUCACAGUUUUGAUGUCCUCUCCACAGGUGUUCACUGGCUGAAGAGGCGGUUUGGAUCUACGGAAGUCUAUGACCAUUUCUUUUAUCUUAGAGGUGUUGAGGAGGUUUAACAUUUAUACAGCUGUUUCAGUCAUUAGUCAUGUCAGUCAAUCAACACUGCUCGCUAAACCGCCCAAUACGCUUGUGCAAGGACGGUUUAAUUGCAUUUUAACUUAAACUGUAGAAGUGCGGGGGAUCAAAAAGAAGACGAAUCAUCAUGGAGAUUAAAUUUGGAUGUGUGGGGUUAUCAUCACUCGAUCCUUAAACCCUUUAAACCCUUAAGUUAGGUUAAUCUAUUCAAUUUGUGUUUUUAUCUUCUUAUGCAACUCAAAAAUGCUGCAAAGUGCCUUUUUCAAUCUGUCAUUUUCUUUUACAGUAACUUACUGUUAUUUUACUGCGGUGACAUUUCGACGAAUUGAUGGAGCUUUUUAACACUCGCAGCAUUCCUGUUAAGUAAGGACACCAUAAACUAGUAAAAAAAAAAAGGUGUAUGAUAGCAGACUAGUUUUGUCAACUUAUGUUUUUCAAAUCAGGACCUCUAUUUUUAAAAUGUAAUCAGGAAGCUACAAGACUUAGGAUCCCCCCGGGGGGAUUCAGGUCAUCAUGUGGAGUUGAGUCCUGUGGUGAGCGAAAAAUGGAGACAGACCCAGUCAUACAAAAAAACAAGGAUGGAUCAAAUCUCAGGGGUGAGUCCGUGUGAACGGGGGUGAUAGAUAUAGAGGGGGGGGAAACCUCUCAGGUGUGCUGGUCAGUGGUCCGUGGCAAACUCUUCAUUUGUCCCUCGUUUCAGAGCGGCAGGCGGGGCAGCUGUGGGCUGGAUGUUCCUGCCCUGAAAGGACUCGAGUUCAAAUUGCCGUGAGCGAAAAUUGACACAGAUUUUCGACUUACUUUCAUCACGGCUAUGGAUAUUAUUCAAGUGUACAGUGUGAAACGGUAGUCGUAAUAAAGCUAAAGGGAACUAUUCCCCCAUCUCUUCAUAUUAACUACAGAGCUUCAGGCUACAGUAGUUUUCUGCUCGUCUGCCUCAGCAGGCGAGAAACCAGCUGAUGAUUAUUCAGUAGGCAUUAGCAGCUGUAAAGAGCCACUGGGAAAUCUGUGAAUGAUGGUCAGAAACAGGAAAUGUUCGACGCCGCUACCCGUUUUUGGAAAAAUCUGUGGUUUCUGAGCAGGAAGAUCUAAAAACACCCGAGAAACCCUCCAAGAUGAUCUGAGAUAAGGGGUGAAAUAUCCGGGGGAAAAGUGAGAAAAGGUUUGGGAUGAUGGAGAGGGAAGCAGAGGGAGCAGCAGCAGGGGUGAAGAUGUGCGAGAGGAGUGAUGGAAGAGCGAAUAAACAGAAGAGAAGAGAUGAUAAAAAAAAGGGGAGGAGGGGGGACAGAGCUCGCGAGAAGGUGUGACGUGACGGGAGAGGAGGUGUAGCAACACUGUGUCCACUGGUGUGUGAAACCGGCCUGACAUCUGCAGAGUGUGUUUGUGUGUAUGGAAGCGUGAUCACUCGCCAUGGAGGGUCAUGGAGACCGGCUCCAUUUCUCCUCUGAGCGCAAAAAAACACAAACACCUCCGGUUUGGCUGAGAGGAUGUUUCCAGGGUUAGAAGGUCAGGACAAGUGCAUUACUCAGGCUGCCAUGACAGUUACACACACACACACACGCAUGUGAGCGUAGGCACUGACUCACCAGAGUUUAGACUGAGGCUACUUGAACAUAAAAAUUCAUUCGCCGCUUUUGCAUUGUAAUCAGAUGAGAUUUGGCGUGUGACUUGUCCUGACAGAACAGAUUUUCAGCGUUUCCAGACUCCGCAUGUGUGCCGAUGACUUCCCAUUCAAAGCUGUUGGCAGGUUGUUCAGAUCACAGUCGCAGUUGUCUGACUGUAAGAUCAGCCAUAAUAACAAAGCAGCUCUUUUCUCUGGAUUUAGUCCUUUUGAAAACAGUAGACUUCAGUCGGUUGGUAGUCCCCAAUUUUAUGGAAGCAAAUUUGUAUCAUAAUUCAAAUGGAAAUAGAUUAAAAGAAAUGCAUUUGCAUGUUCAGAAAGGACCUGCACUUC